rnacentral:rRNA from 1 species
ACGUACACUCCUACGGGAGGCAGCAGUGGGGAAUAUUGCACAAUGGGCGCAAGCCUGAUGCAGCCAUGCCGCGUGUAUGAAGAAGGCCUUCGGGUUGUAAAGUACUUUCAGCGGGGAGGAAGGCAAUACGGUUAAUAACCGUGUUGAUUGACGUUACCCGCAGAAGAAGCACCGGCUAACUCCGUGCCAGCAGCCGCGGUAAUACGGAGGGUGCAAGCGUUAAUCGGAAUUACUGGGCGUAAAGCGCACGCAGGCGGUCUGUCAAGUCGGAUGUGAAAUCCCCGGGCUCAACCUGGGAACUGCAUUCGAAACUGGCAGGCUUGAGUCUUGUAGAGGGGGGUAGAAUUCCAGGUGUAGCGGUGAAAUGCGUAGAGAUCUGGAGGAAUACCGGUGGCGAAGGCGGCCCCCUGGACAAAGACUGACGCUCAGGUGCGAAAGCGUGGGGAGCAAACAGGAUUAGAAACCCUAGUAGUCCCAUGA